ACCAUUAUUAUUUAAUUUAUUUACAUUUUGAAAUGUGAUUUUCCUUUUUGAAUCCUUUGUUCUCAUCAGAUACUAGAAUUGUUAUCAUCACCUUCUUGUGCAGUCUCUACAAGGUUGUGAAAUCUGGAUGGGGACAAAAGGAAGAGUAUCAUCAGGAGUUGAAGACUUUAAACAUUUGUGCCAAUCCACAUAACUUCCUGGGCCACCAAGAAUGUAUACCAGAACAUUAAAUAUUUCUUGAAAAUCAUAUAAUUCACUUUUCU
rnacentral:lncRNA from 1 species